rnacentral:rRNA from 1 species
GAGGGCAAGUCUGGUGCCAGCAGCCGCGGUAAUUCCAGCUCCAAUAGCGUAUAUUAAAAUUGUUGCAGUUAAGAAGCUCGUAGUUGAAUUUCAGCUGCUCCGCACUUUCUUCCCGUUAUGGAGGUUGUGCGCCGUGGCUUAUUUCGGACUGUGUUAUGCACUGUCCGGAUGUUUACUUUGAGAAAAUUAGAGUGCUCAAAGCAGGCUUUUGGCUUGAAUAGUUUGGCAUGGAAUAAUAAAGUAGGACUUUGGUUCUAUUUUGUUGGUUUUAGGUACCAAAGUAAUGGUUAAUAGGAGCAGUUGGGGGUAUUCGUAUUUAACUGUCAGAGGUGAAAUUCUUAGAUUUGUUAAAGACGAACUACUGCGAAAGCAUUUGCCAAGGAUGUUUUCAUUAAUCAAGAACGAAAGUUAGGGGAUCGAAGACGAUCAGAUACCGUCGUAGUCCUAACCAUAAACUAUGCCGACUAGAGAUUGGAGGUCGUCAGUUUUUACGACUCCUUCAGCACCUUGAGAG